rnacentral:rRNA from 1 species
UACAGAGGGUGCAAGCGUUAUUCGGAAUUACUGGGCGUAAAGAGCACGUAGGCGGUCUUAUAAGUCCGAUGUGAAAGCCCUGGACCCAAUCCAGGAAGUGCAUCGGAUACUGUUAGACUAGAAUAUAGGAGGGGAGAGUGGAAUUUCUGGUGUAGAGGUGAAAUUCGUAGAUAUCAGAAGGAACAACAGUGGCGAAGGCGACUCUCUGGACUAUUAUUGACGCUGAGGUGCGAAAGCGUGGGGAGCAAACAGG